rnacentral:lncRNA from 10 species
GCUUAAUAUGUGGUGCAACUUGCGCUUCCCUGUAGAAUCAAACCAAAACUAGUCUUCAGCCGUGACCACACUCUUGUUUAAGUUUCCUAUUCCUGUCCUGUCCUGCUGCCUUCACUCCUCUUAUCCUGGGAGCACUUUCCCAAUCAAGCAUAAGAAUCUUCAUCUCAGUCCUCACUGCUUAGGAAACCAAUUUAAGACAACUGGCAUUGGAGAUGGAUUCUAGGGUUAAUUCACUUGCUGGCUGGAUGGCAAUGAGGACCCCACUGGUGGAGAUCCUUUGGCAGCCCUUCUCAAGGACCUCUGUGAGACAAAAUCAGAAAUGGCUUCCCUGGGGACCAAGAGAGCCCACAAGCCUCUUCCUGCUGCUUCUUCUACCCCUGUAUUUUGUUUGACUCUCUAAAUUUGUCUCAGCUCCAGCUGUGUACCCUCUCAUGCAGAAUUCAGUGGCCAGAAGCUUGUAUCUUGGUCUUGGAUAAUACAGUUAUCUCUGUAUUUUGAGUUUCUUCCUUAUUCAGGUAAGUAAACCUGGUUUGGUUUUAUCGAUGUGUUGUCUGUGCCUAAUCUCCCCAUGAUUUAAUACUUGCCAUUGCUGUUUGCCAAUACAGGGAUGGUGUGAAGGCUAAACUCUGAGAAAUGGCUUGUAAGCUCUCCCUUCACUCUCCAGCCUGUCCUUUAACAAGCUCUCUCAAAUAUCUGCUCUUGAACUAGAGCAAGAUACCUCCUCCUGCACCUCUACCUGACAUCUUCGCCCCAUCCUUAUGGCCCAGCCAACCCUUGUUAUUCUUUAGGUUUUGUCUCAAAUAGCAGUUCUCCCUGGAAGCCAUUUCUGACUCCCCAAGUUGUUUUAGGGGCUUCCAUAGUACCCUGAAAAUUCCUCACCCUCACAAAGAUUACACCAUGGUGCAGUGGUUUGUUUUCUUAUCUGUAGCUUCCAUUAGGCUGUGAACAACUUAAGGACACUGCUUCAUCUGGCUUGCUUAUUAAAACCCUAGUGCUUGGCACCAUAGUAAAUGGUUAAUAAAUACAUUCAAUGAAUGAGUGAACAACAAUAAUAGCAGUCAUGUUUUAUUGCAUACCAGCUAUGUGAUAGACACCAUGCUGGGCGCUCUCUCUCUCUCUUUCUCUCUCUGUGUGUGUGUGUGUGUGUAUGUGUGUAAUCCCUAAUCCUAAAUACAACUAUGCAAGGUUAGUCUUGUUAUCCUAAUUAUACAGUUAAGGAAGUCCAGGGUUACAAGCUAAGUAACCUGGCUGGGGUCACUGUUAAAUGCAUAGCUAGAAUUUGUACCCAGGUCUACCUAAUGCCUUAUGCCAGUGUAUUUACUGAGCUAUAUUUAUAUAAGUUGCCCUUUUCUC